GGGGUGACGGCGUACCUUUUGUAUAAUGGGUCAGCGACUUACGUUCAGUAGCAAGCUUAACCGUAUAGGGCAGGCGUAGCGAAAGCGAGUCCGAAUAGGGCGUUCAGUUGCUGGGCGUAGACCCGAAACCAGGUGAUCUAUCCAUGGCCAGGAUGAAGGUGCGGUAACACGUACUGGAGGUCCGAACCCACUAACGUUGAAAAGUUAGGGGAUGAGCUGUGGAUAGGGGUGAAAGGCUAAACAAACCUGGAAAUAGCUGGUUCUCUCCGAAAACUAUUUAGGUAGUGCCUCGUGUCUCACCUUCGGGGGUAGAGCACUGUCAUGGUUGGGGGGUCUAUUGCAGAUUACCCCGCCAUAGCAAACUCCGAAUACCGAAGAGUGCAAUCACGGGAGACAGACAUCGGGUGCUAACGUCCGGUGUCAAGAGGGAAACAACCCAGACCGCCAGCUAAGGUCCCCAAAUAUGGCUAAGUGGGAAACGAAGUGGGAAGGCUAAAACAGUCAGGAGGUUGGCUUAGAAGCAGCCACCCUUUAAAGAAAGCGUAAUAGCUCACUGAUCGAGUCGUCCUGCGCGGAAGAUGUAACGGGGCUAAGCCAUAUACCGAAGCUGCGGAUGCGUGCUUGCACGCAUGGUAGGAGAGCGUUCCGUAAGCCUGCGAAGGUGCCUUGUAAAGGGUGCUGGAGGUAUCGGAAGUGCGAAUGCUGACAUGAGUAGCGAUAAAGGGGGUGAAAGGCCCCCUCGCCGUAAGCCCAAGGUUUCCUACGCAACGUUCAUCGGCGUAGGGUGAGUCGGCCCCUAAGGCGAGGCAGAAAUGCGUAGCUGAUGGGAAGCAGGUCAAUAUUCCUGCACCGUCGUUAGAUGCGAUGGGGGGACGGAUCGCGGAAGGUUGUCCGGGUGUUGGACGUCCCGGUCGCUGCAUUGGAGAAGGCGCUUAGGCAAAUCCGGGCGCAGGAUUCAAGGGUGUGGCGCGAGCGACUUCGGUCGCGAAGCAAUUGGAAGUGGUUCCAAGAAAAGCCUCUAAGCUUCAGUCUAACGAUGACCGUACCGCAAACCGACACAGGUGGGCGAGAUGAGUAUUCUAAGGCGCUUGAGAGAACUCGGGAGAAGGAACUCGGCAAAUUGGUACCGUAACUUCGGGAUAAGGUACGCCCUUGUAGCUUGAC
rnacentral:rRNA from 1 species